GGGGUGCGUUGCCAGAUGGGCGCUGGGCCGGACUGUAAAUCCGGCGUCUUCGACUCGCGUGGUUCAACUCCGCGGCACCCCACCA
rnacentral:tRNA from 1 species